UUCAAGGACUAUAUUAUAAUAUACCAUUACUUUCUCAAAUUCGAUUUAGUCCUUUUUGACUUCAACUGUGAUAACAAAUUAAAUUUCGGCAAUAAGACAUACAAAAAGAAAAAGUUUUGACUAUAAUGAUGAAAAGUCUAAAAUUUUAGACUUUUUAUCCAAUAGGCCUUAAUUAAAUAUUUUUUGGAAAGUUAAUUUAAUUAAGAGGCCUAAAAAAUAUUUAAUAGAUAAAAGCUGAGAUUAAAGAGAUAAAUCUCAAAGGAAGUUAGCAGAAUAUCGGAAGUCAGCUAAAGCAAGAAAUUAUGGGAAGUUGGAGAAAGUGGGCAAUUAACUCCCACCAUCUAUUGAACUUGGAAAGUGGAGUCUCCAAAUCCUUUCAAGUACCUUGUUCAGGUCCCCUCAAUAUUCUUAGCAGUUUCUCCAUUUUGCAGAGCCAAGGUAGAUGGUCUUAGGCGAGGGAAGGUAGAAUUUGCAAAGUUUGGAAAAUAAACAGAUUUGAUUUGUUGGUUUCCAGCUUAGGACCUGCAAUGCAGAAUAAGAAGAACAAGAAUUUGAUUGCACUAAACACACUAAAUUAUAUUAAGUUGCCAUAAAAACAUCGCAGCCUAACCAUUCAUUUCAUUCCUUACUAAUUCUAAACAUGACUGAGGCUCUCAUUAGACUUUUGAUUGAUCAAUAUUGGGAAUUUAAACUUCAAUUUUUUUUGUGUUUUAUUAUCUUCUUUUUUAUUGUCACUAUUUUCAUUUUAUCAUUUUCCUGUAUUACAACAACCACAUGAAAUAAAAAAAGAAGCAUUAAACCUAGUGAAUUUAACUUUCUUUCCAACAAUGGACCUUAUACUUUUCUCACUUCCUCCGUAUGAUUGCCCCUGGAGCGAAAUAUUUUCAUUUUUUCAUUAAUCACUAUUAUCUUGUAGCAGAAUGAAGCCAUACCUUAAACUCAAAUGAAAGCGAAAACCUCUAAGCUUCAAUAGCUUCGUUUCAACUUCUGUUUCAAAUUUAGGGGCAGUGCAUCAAGAAUUGAAAAGACUC
rnacentral:misc_RNA from 1 species